CCUACGGGUGGCAGCAGUGGGGAAUAUUGCACAAUGGGGGAAACCCUGAUGCAGCGAUGCCGCGUGGAGGAAGAAGGUUUUCGGAUUGUAAACUCCUUUUAUCAGGGACGAUAAUGACGGUACCUGAAGAAAAAGCUACGGCUAAAUACGUGCCAGCAACCGCGGUAAUACGUAGGGAGCGAAGGUUGUCCGGAAUUAAUGGGUGGAAAGGGGGCGUAGGCGGGUCGGCAAGUCACAUGUGAAAACUGAGGGCUCAACUUUCAGAUUGCAUUGGAAACUGCUGUACUUGAGUGAAGUAGAGGUAAGCGGAAUUCCUAGUGUAGCGGUGAAAUGCGUAGAUAUGAGGAGGAACAUCGGUGGCGAAGGCGGCUUACUGGGCUUUUACUGACGCUGAGGCUCGAAAGCGUGGGGAGCAAACAGGAUUAGAUACCCGGGUAGUC
rnacentral:rRNA from 1 species